rnacentral:rRNA from 1 species
UUGGUUAAGUUAGAAAGGGCGCACGGUGGAUGCCUUGGCACUAGGAGCCGAAGAAGGACGGGACUAACACCGAUAUGCUUUGGGGAGCUGUACGUAAGCGUUGAUCCAGAGAUUUCCGAAUGGGGGAACCCACUAUCUUUAGUCGGAUAGUAUCCUUACGUGAAUACAUAGCGUGAGGAAGGCAGACCCAGGGAACUGAAACAUCUAAGUACCUGGAGGAAGAGAAAGAAAAAUCGAUUUCCUGAGUAGCGGCGAGCGAAACGGAAAGAGCCCAAACCAAGAAGCUUGCUUCUUGGGGUUGUAGGACACUCUAUACGGAGUUACAAAAGAAAGUUAUAAAUGAAGCGGUCUGGAAAGGCCCGCCAAAGACGGUAACAGCCCGGUAGUUGAAAUGGCUUUCCCUCCAGAGUGGAUCCUGAGUACGGCGGAACACGUGAAAUUCCGUCGGAAUCCGGGAGGACCAUCUCCCAAGGCUAAAUACUCCCUAGUGACCGAUAGUGAACCAGUACCGUGAGGGAAAGGUGAAAAGCACCCCGGAAGGGGAGUGAAACAGUUCCUGAAACCGUGUGCCUACAAGUAGUUAGAGCCCGUUAAUGGGUGAUAGCGUGCCUUUUGUAGAAUGAACCGGCGAGUUACGAUUUGUUGCAAGGUUAAGCGGAAAAAGCGGAGCCGUAGCGAAAGCGAGUCUGAAUAGGGCGCAUAAGUAACAGGUCGUAGACCCGAAACCAGGUGAUCUACCCAUGUCCAGGAUGAAGGUAAGGUAAUACUUACUGGAGGUCCGAACCCACGCACGUUGAAAAGUGCGGGGAUGAGGUGUGGGUAGCGGAGAAAUUCCAAUCGAACUUGGAGAUAGCUGGUUCUCUCCGAAAUAGCUUUAGGGCUAGCCUCGAGGUAAAGAGUCAUGGAGGUAGAGCACUGUUUGGACUAGGGGCCCUUCUCGGGUUACCGAAUUCAGAUAAACUCCGAAUGCCAUGUACUUAUACUCGGGAGUCAGACUGCGAGUGAUAAGAUCCGUAGUCGAAAGGGAAACAGCCCAGACCACCAGUUAAGGUCCCCAAAUAUAUGUUAAGUGGAAAAGGAUGUGGGGUUGCUUAGACAACCAGGAUGUUGGCUUAGAAGCAGCCACCAUUGAAAGAGUGCGUAAUAGCUCACUGGUCGAGUGACCCCGCGCCGAAAAUGUACCGGGGCUAAACAUAUUACCGAAACUGUGGAUGAACCUCUUUAGAGGUUCGUGGUAGGAGAGCGUUCUAAGGGCGGUGAAGUCAGACCGGAAGGACUGGUGGAGCGCUUAGAAGUGAGAAUGCCGGUAUGAGUAGCGAAAGAAGGGUGAGAAUCCCUUCCACCGAAUAUCUAAGGUUUCCUGAGGAAGGCUCGUCCGCUCAGGGUUAGUCGGGACCUAAGCCGAGGCCGAUAGGCGUAGGCGAUGGACAACAGGUAGAGAUUCCUGUACCAGUGCUAAUUGUUUAACCGAUGGGGUGACACAGAAGGAUAGGG